rnacentral:rRNA from 1 species
CCUACGGGAGGCAGCAGUGGGGGCUAUUGCACAAUGGGGGAAACCCUGAUGCAGCGACGCCGCGUGGGUGAAGAAGCGCCUCGGCGCGUAAAGCCCUGUCAGCAGGGAAGAAAAUGACGGUACCUGAAGAAGAAGCCCAGGCUAACUACGUGCCAGCAGCCGCGGUAAUACGUAGGGGGCAAGCGGUAUCCGGAUUUACUGGGUGGAAAGGGGGGGCAGACGGCGAUGCAAGCCAGGCGUGAAAGCCCGGGGCCCAACACCGGGACUGCUCUUGGAACUGCGUGGCUAGAGGGCAGGAGGGGCAGGCGGAAUUCCUGGUGUAGCGGUGAAAUGCGUAGAGAUCAGGAGGAAGACCGAUGGCGAAGGCGGCCUGCUGGACUGCAACUGACGUUGAGGCCCGAAAGCGUGGGGAGCAAACAGGAUUAGAUACCCUAGUAGUC